CAGCAGCCGCGGUAAAACAGAGGGUGCGAGCGUUAAUCGGAUUUACUGGGCGUAAAGCGUGCGUAGGCGGUUCGUUAAGUCUGUUGUGAAAGCCCCGGGCUCAACCUGGGAAUGGCAAUGGAUACUGGCGAGCUAGAGUGUGUCAGAGGAUGGUGGAAUUCCCGGUGUAGCGGUGAAAUGCGUAGAGAUCGGGAGGAACAUCAGUGGCGAAGGCGGCCAUCUGGGACAACACUGACGCUGAGGCACGAAAGCGUGGGGAGCAAACAGGAUUAGAUACCCCAGUAGUCCCUGUCUCUUAUAC
rnacentral:rRNA from 1 species